rnacentral:lncRNA from 1 species
CUUUGGUGUUGAAGCCAAGAAAUCAUGGCCAAAUUCAGUGUUGUGAAGUUUUUGCCCCUUUAAUUUCUUUCAGAAAUGUUUUGCAGUUUUGUAGUUUUGUAGUGCAAGUAUUUCACCUUCUGGUGGUUAAGUUAAUUCCUAAUUAAUUUAUUCUUUUUUGUUGUUCAAGUCCUCUAUUUCUUCACUUAUCUUCUGUCUGGUUGUUCUAUUCAUUAUUGGAGUGGAGUAUUGAAGUCUCCAACAUUAUUAUAGAACUGCCUAUUUCUCCCUUCAAUUUUAUCAAUGCUUGCUUUAUAUAUUUUU